CUAGGUUUUGAAACUAAUUUGAAUAAAGAGCAGCAUUUUAUAAGGGACAAGUUAUUUAACAUGGUCAACAAAUGUGUGACAAUACUGAUCAUUGAUUCUUUCUUGUGGUUUGAAUACAAGAGGUGACUAAAGCACAAGAUGGCUGCGUCGAACGUAGCAAGACAUAUAGGCCAUUUUUCUGCAUCAAAUCAGGCAAAUGCAAUCGUGCGUGCAUUUCUGAAGGCUAC
rnacentral:lncRNA from 1 species